UACAGAAUUGUUGUUUUUUUUCCACAGCCUGCCAGUUUCACAGCAAAUUGGAAAUUUUUCCAGUACAAUAUGUGUCCAAGACACGUGAAAACAAGGGCUGUAAAGAAGUACUGGUUCAUUGGCACCCUUGCCCAUCAUGCCAAAAGACCUGGCCCCCAUCUUGGGAACCACAGGGGAACAUACAAAUGACAGUGUCAGGUUGAUGCCAACUUUCCUACCACCUAAAAUGAGAUUAAGAGAAAUAGUGUUAAUACUAAUUAUCUCCAUUAAAGCUAUACAUGACUGAAUAAAAUGGAUUUUCUGUCGACAACAAAACACAUGAUUGUAGCGUUCUGAUUGGCAGGUUCAGCCUUUUCAUUUCACAGUUCUGGUAAUCUGAGUUAUAAAUAUGGAAUUGGGAGUUUAUAUAACAGUAUAAUUAAAAAGACUGUCAAUAAAGUCAUAAUUGUGAGAACUAUAUAAAGAAAGUCUGCUAAAAGUUCAGUUGUCACCUUGGUGGUUCAAAUAAAAAAUGUUAUUUUUCCCAUGGAACUGUGUUGUGUGGACAAAAAUAAAAGUUGAAUGGAUUGAAA